rnacentral:rRNA from 1 species
CUACGGGUGGCACCAGUGCUGAAUCAUUCGCCAAUGCGGGAAACCGUGACGGUGCGACGCCGCGUGCAGGAUGAAGGCCCUUGGGUUGUAAACUGCUGUCAGGUUUUAGAAAACUGCAUAGGUUAAUACCCUAUGUACUGAUCAGAAUCAAAGGAAGCACAGGCUAAUUUCGUGCCAGCAGCCGCGGUAAUACGAAAUGUGCGAGCGUUGUUCGGAAUCACUGGGCAUAAAGGGUCUGUAGGCGGUCUUAUAAGUUGGCGGUGAAAUACCUCGGCUCAACCGGGGAACUGCCACCAAUACUGUAAGACUUGAGUGUGAAAGGGGUAAGUGGAAUUCCAGGUGUAGCGGUGGAAUACGUAGAUAUCUGGGAGAACGCCAAAGGCGAAGGCAGCUUACUGGGUCACAACUGACGCUGAGAGACGAAAGCUAGGGGAGCGAACGGGAUUAGAUACCCUCGUAGUC